GACGGAGGAGGCAAGCGUUGUCCGGAAUUAUUGGGCGUAAAGAGCGCGUAGGUGGUUUUUCAAGUCAUGUGUGAAAACUUCAGGCUCAACUUGAAGAUUGCACAUGAAACUGGAUAACUUGAGUACAGCAGAGGAAAGUGGAAUUCCUGGUGUAGCGGUGAAAUGCGCAGAUAUCAGGAGGAACACCGGUGGCGAAGGCGGCUUUCUGGGCUGUCACUGACGCUGAGGCGCGAAAGCCAGGGGAGCAAACAGGAUUAGAUACCCUGGUAGUCCUGGCUGUAAACGAUGGACACUAGGUGUGGGAAGUUAUCGACGCUUUCUGUGCCGAAGCUAACGCAUUAAGUGUCCCGCCUGGGGAGUACGGCCGCAAGGCUAAA
rnacentral:rRNA from 1 species